rnacentral:lncRNA from 1 species
UCUCAAACUGCUGGGAUUAUAGGUAUGUACCACUGAACCAAGGCAGGUUGUAUUUAUACUAAAAAUCAUUAUUCAUUGUUUAUCUUAUAUCAAAUUCCUAUAUACCUUCCCACUAGUGCCCCCAGUGUUAACAUUCUAUGUUAAUAUAGUACAGUUAUAGUAAUUAAUAAGCCAAUAUUGAUACACUAUUCUUAGCAAAAGCCUAUAUUUGUUCACUAUGUACAUACUACAUACACAGUGGUGUGGACAUUCACUACGUCUACACUGCAGGGCUACUGGGGAUCUGCACUCAUGCCUUGAAGGUGUGGUAACUAUAUAAACUACGUGGAAUUCUUCAUUAGGGAGAUUUGUCUCUUUGCCCCACUUAUUUAUUUACCAGAUGAUUUAUCUGGAUAUUUACUUUAUACUAUAGGGGUAAAGAGUUCCUCACUUCCCUCUCUCAAGUUUGCACCUCUGUCUGCUGAAAUAAAGCCAUGAGAUAGAGGAGAGGAAAGUACCAGGCCUGGUCCCAGGGGCCUGGCUGGAGGCGGGGCACCAAGACACCAGUGAGAUUCCGAAGCUUCUCUGCCCCUUCUCCAAGGGGAGAGGGACGGGGACUGUAGGCAGUUUUAGAGGAAGAGGGUUGCGAAUGGCCUGAAAGACAGACAGUGCCUGCAGCACACUUCCUGGCCCAUGUAUGCUAGGAUUUUCCGUCUUCUUCUGUGAUGGGGUGUCUCCUCUUCUUCAGUUAAUGACAGUCUGUAGGAAGACGGAAGGCCAUAGUGUUCUCCUUUGGUGGACCUGGCCUUUGAACAGACAGGGCAGCCUCAGGGAAGGGUCUGCUGUCUCCUGGUGACAGUAACAUAGCUAGCAUACCAAGGCGCUACAGUGUAGGGUAUCCUGUUUUGAGCCCCCAAGUACUUUGGGUCAUAAUCCAAAUAAUCCAUAAUCUACUUUAUUUUCUUGCUGAAAUUAUUCUAGCUUUGGGCAUGAGUGCUCUUCUUGUUGGCUGCACACACAUGCCCACACGCACACUCCUUAUAUCCCGGCACUCUGAGAUGUUCAGCCAUCCUGCCUGUCUCCUGCCCCAGCCCUGGAGUCAGCCAUCUCUCUAAGAGGAGGUGCUCCUGUGUUCUACUGAGGGUGGUGUCAGAGGCCAUCAUCUGUGUGCUAUGUGUGCUUGUUGCUGUGAGGUGUUACUAUCCCUGGCCCUCCCAGGUGACCGAGCAAGGACGUCUGUGUAUGUGCACUUGUGUAUACACGCGGCUGUUGCACAUCUCUGCAUGGUUUUCAUUGGUUGCUGCUCCAUGAUCCACCACAUCCAGUGUCUCGUGGCCAACUGUGUCAGCACUUCUGUCCUCCGGCGUGGAACACUUGCUGUUCGGCUUUGGAUAUGAGGUGUUCCCAACCAGUAAGUCAAUCUCCUGGUGGAAUUAACUGAUGCCUCAAGGCGAGUGGAGUCUCUGCACCCUCUGAUCGUCACACAAGCUGCCUUCCUCUGCACACCUUCUGCCAUGAUGUUUUGCCUCACCUGGAGCCUUGAGGAGUGCAGCCAGCCAUCCAUGGACUGAGACCUCUGAAACUGCGAGCCCCAAAUAAGUUGAUCCUCCUCUACAAUUGUUCUGGUCAUUAGUCACAGCAGGGAAAAAGCUGACUGAAACACUUACUGUCACUGGGCUUUUUCCUCGCCCUCCUUCUUAAACGUUAAGUGUGCUAAUUAUUUCCAGCGCCCACACUCAGCCCACCGGAGAUGUCCUCUUCACCUGCUGCUUUACCCCGACUGCAAGCUCAUGGGAAGCACACCGUCCAUCCUCUUGGAGCCACUUUCUCUGGGCACCUCAGGGGGAAUACUGGCUUCUUGGUCUACUUCCUGUUGCUCUAACAAAACACCUAAGGCCAGGUUAUUUAUAAAGCAAUCAAGGUUAUUCAGCUCACAGUUCUGGAGACAGAACAGCGCACAGCAUGGCACAGGCACCUGUUCUGCCCCUGCAGGGGGCCUCAUGCUGAAUGGUAACAUGGCGGAGGACAGCACAUGGUGGGUCGGAGCAGGCACGCCAGCUCAGAUCUCUUCUUACAAGGCCACUGACCCCAGCAUGCGAGCCCCACCCUCUCAGCCUCAUGGGACCCUGGUGACCUCCAGAACACCCCACUCCCAGGCCAUUAACUUAUGAAUUGAGGGACCAGGUUUCCAGUCCAUAAACCUUUAUGGGACACACUCCAUGGCACUAGGCAAGGUAUUUGCUUGGAUUCUUGGUUUUACUAAUAGGACAGAACUGCAGAGAGUUGGAAUCAAGGCCAUUUAUCUGUGGUUUCUUUUCUGGAGAAAGCACGAUACUUGCUUUUUUGUUUAAUGUUCAGGUUGAAAUUAGAAACUUGCAUCAGUAUCUGCAGUUUUCUGUGUUUUCACUGACGAUGACUUCAUAUCAGAACUAUCAGGAAUGCUCCUGCACACACAAGAGAAGUGAGCAAGGGCAGGCUUGGGGCAGAUUUUGCCUACGCCAUGUUUCAGCUGGAGGCAGGUGUAGUACCCACCGGAGGCCGUGGGCUUGCUGGAGUGACGUGCUUUUGCUUGGCUCCUCAUUGCUUCCAGAGGCUGAAGGUCUGGCUCUGUCUCCUGCACCACUCCGUCUCCUUGAGUUCCUCUGAGACGCUGUCUUUCCCAGUAACACUCAGAAAAGAUCCAACACCAGAUUUUAUUCUGUUUGUUCAGAUAUGAUCUUUUUUUUUUUGGUACCACUGAGCCACAUGCCCAGCCCUAUUUUGUAUUUUAUUUAGAGACAAGAGUCUCACUGAGACCCUGCUUAGUGCCUCGCCAUCUCUGAGGCUGGCUUUGAACUCUCCAUCCUCCUGCCUCAGCCUUAGCUGCUGGGGUUACAGGGGUGUGCCACCGUGCCUGGCCAGAUACGAUCCUUCUUAGUCCACAAAGUGAGGUGGCCGUCUGUGACAGCUAGCUCCUGGUGUUGCCAGAUUGGAAGAACAGUUUAAAGUCUGCCUGCUCUACGGGCAACACCAGCAAUCCCUUUUGUUCAUUUCUUUCAAUGGGGUUGGAUGGGAUUCUGCCAUCUUGAUUGCCAUUGUUGGAUUUCUUGGUGGAAGAUGAGCUUGCUUUGGACACUAGGUAGCUUAUCCACACCAUAAAAGCAUGGUGCCCCCGAGAACCGGCUCCCAGCAUGGCGCAUCACCUCUGGAUUCUCCCUCCCCCAAAGGUGUCCGAGUGUCCAACCACGGCCCCCACAAGGGCCUGGCUUCAGUACACACGGCCCUUGUGGUUGUCACCCCCCAAACAUCAGGAGCACCCGGUGCACCUGGGAUGAGGUACAGGGCGACACAGCUGAUUCUGGACUUGGCACAGGAGAAAUUUGGCCCCAGGUUUGUGCCACUUUUUCUUCCCUUUGGCUUGACAUCAGAUAACUGUGUCUUAUCUGAGAAGUUUUCAACUCUCCCUCCAGAGCUUUCCCGUCCUUUGGGGGUUUUCAGAUAUAGUAGAGCCAGAGAGGAGCCCUGCCUACCCCUGAGGGCUAGUUUCUGUGUUUUCCGCCCAUUCCACACAUUUCAGAGGUGGUGGCUUUUUUUGGAGCAGGGCUCUAAGACACCUCAAGAAAUGCCCUCUUCUGUGGGUGCUAAUGGCUCCCAGAGUCAGGGCAGCUGUCAGGGCUCCUGCUGGUGCAGAGAGGAUGCCUUGCACCAUGCCCUGGAGACGCCGCUGCUCGGGCACCUUGGCCUCGUUUCUGCCCCUGAAAUACAGGGACUCUGCCACCAACCCAGGGCCUUUGCCACUUACCUGUGUCUACUAGGAAUCUCUUCCCCAACUCUCCACAGGGCAGCUGUCCACCACCCUCAGGCCGUAGCCCCUGCCCGACACACACGGACGCGCACACGCACACCCGUCAGGCAAAGCCCAUUACUCCGCUGGCUCUUUUGUGGUCACAGUGGUUGUUCUUAUCCAAAUGAACUUACCCUACACGUUUCCUGGCCAGGUACUCAGUGUCCUGCUAAAGCUGGACUCAGCAAAGGGAGUCUCGUCCCUUCCACACGCACUGUGGUGCUCAUGCCCUUGGCUGACCAGCACUGGAGGACCAGCCACCAGCCGCCUUCCAGGAGGCAGAGAAUUGGGGGGCAUGGUGCUCCUGCCUUUAAGACCUUCCCAGCAGAGGCAGAAGCAAGCACCUGGGGUCCCCAGAGAUCAAGCCGUGCAUGGGCACUGGGUGGGCAGCCAGAGUGCCACCGGUGGGUCAGCAGGCAACCUCGGGAGGAAGGGACAGGGCAGAGUCAGAGCAGGGCCAGAAGUAUAGGCUAGCAGCAGUCGGGAGCAGACCAGGACGCCAGCAUCCAGAUGGGUGGGUGGCCUGCCCAAGUGCCAGGUGACUCUUGGCCCCAGCAGGAGCCGGCCAAUGCCCCUGGUGGUGGUGGAGGUGUGAAUAAGAAUGGUCACCGUUUUCCAGUUGCUGUGGUGGCGUGUCCCGUACCUGGUCUCAUCUAACCCAUUGCGACAGCCUGAAGGCAUGGAGAGCCUCUCCUCACCCCUUUGGCAAAGUGGGGGGGUUUCGACAGCUGGUUGACUUUUCCGAGGUCACGAAGCUGUACGUGGUCAUGGGGGCCGAGCUUGGGGUCCCCUCUGGAAACUUAGAGCCCACAGGUCCCCAGGGGGUCUCCCACAUGGCCCUGCCUCUGUGCCCAGCCUGGACCUCCUGACUGUGCCAAGUCUGGACUCGUUUCCCAUGAGGACAGCACCCGUAGGAAGAUGGGGACAGGAGGGCAUAAGGGGGGACAAAGCUGAGCCCCUGCCACCUCACACCAGUGUCCGAGACUCGAAACCCCAGAUGAGUGCCACAAAAAUACUGAGUCCCAACUGAAAAGGGUUAUUUUGUUUGUUUUUGCUUCGGUAGGUUUUAUCUUGUUCUUAAAACCACUCAUCUGUGGUGAUCCUGUGACACUGGAACCAUUUUCUUGCUCUCCAAUCUCAAAUGAGCACUCAAAAUAGUCCACACACUGACUUUCAUCACUCAGCUCUUGGCAUCCAGACAAGACCUUCCCUAGAUAAGGCACGGGAGCCAUCGUGCUUGGACGGUCUUCCCUGCAAACUCCAGACCGGACGGAGAGGCACCGGAGGUCGCAGAGGAGCUGGCCAGGCACGGAGCGGGGAGGAAGGGCAGGGCCUCCUCCCACUCCGCACACCUCUGGAUCUUCCUGGAGAGGUCUGGGGUGUGAGCGUCCCAAGUCCUGGUCUGAAAAGAGUGUCUCAAAAAGACAGUCGAGGAGGGGCCCAGUGACAAGAGCCACCAGAGAAAGGUAAAUACAACAGGAAGCAUUUCAACAGCGUGAGGGUGCGCUGCCCCUUCCAGAUCGUUAGGGCACACAUGGAUCCCCUUGGCCCAGCG